UACGAAGGGGGCUAGCGUUGCUCGGAAUCACUGGGCGUAAAGGGUGCGUAGGCGGGUCUUUAAGUCAGGGGGGAAAUCCUGGAGCUCAACUCCAGAACUGCCUUUGAUACUGAAGAUCUCGAGUCCGGGAGAGGUGAGUGGAACUGCGAGUGUAGAGGUGAAAUUCGUAGAUAUUCGCAAGAACACCAGUGGCGAAGGCGGCUCACUGGCCCGGUACUGACGCUGAGGCACGAAAGCGUGGGGAGCAAACAGG
rnacentral:rRNA from 1 species